GAGUGUGUAUUAUUUCUUUCUUUAUUCUUUAGUGGAGCUCGAGAUCCUGUUUACUGUGGACUAGCUGUGUGUGACGCCCUGUUGUUUUUGUUUCCAUUACAAAAAAAAAAAGGUAUGUCUAUUAUGUGUUAAUUGUAGAAAAAAAUAUAAAAUGAGGUGAUGUGAGUGGGAAAAAUUGCUGCACAUAUUAAGGAUCAUUUUUCUUGAUCUAUAUUUUUGUUAUUUGCUGAUGUAUAUAUUUUAUAUACUGUUUUUUAUUUAAUUAAUUUAUUAGAGACUAUUUUAUGCUUUAUUUACCUUUUUUUAUUAUUAUUAUUUUAUUUACUAUUAUUAUUAUUAUUUCCACAUGUAAGCAUAAAUAAUUGAUCAUAUUAGUACAUUGUUUGAUUUCUUUGCUUAAUCCAUUCCAUAAUUUAAUUCCACAUACUGAUAUACUGAAGGUCUUAAGUGUUGUACGUGCGUACAAAUGUUUUAAAUUACAUUUCUCUCAAAGAUUAUAUUUCUCCUCUUUUUUUAAAAAGAAUUGUUGUAUAUUCUUGGGUAGCAGGUUAUAGUUUGCUUUGUUUAUAAUUUUAGCUGUUUGCAAAUUCACUAUGUCGUGGAAUUUCAGUAUCUUUGAUUCAAUAAAUAAAGGAUUUGUAUGUUCUCUAUAUCCAACAUUAGGUGCUGCAGUGCUGCACCUGAGGGCGCAGCACUGCAGCGACCAGAGCUUGUGCUUGUUGCUUUUAUGUGUUUUUUAAGUGUGUUUUUUAAGUGUUCGUACCAUCAUGUUCGUUUUGUUUAUUCGUUUUUAAAAACAUGCUUUGGUGCUUGUGACUUUACGUGAAACUGAUCACGGCAUAAAUUGACAUUCGACAUACAAAGAACUCGGCCGUCUGAACUACCAAUUGUUUGUAGCACGAGCCCUAACAAUGGAAGCAAGUUUUUAUAUCGUACUGCUGAUCCUCUUUUUUUAUCAGCGAACGUGUAAUUUUUUGUCUUGCAACGAACGUGCAAUGGGAACAUGGAUGUCGCGUCUACUCCAGAGAUGCCUUACUGUCCCCCCAGAACGUUCUCAUCUAUAUACCAAAUAUAAUUUGCCUGCCGCAUGCACAAUUGAAGCUGCUCCGUGAGACAAAGAAGGACGAAGGCUAACUACUUCCAGAAUCCCGAUUUUAAAGCAAUUUGGUGCGCCAUCCAUUUAUCACAAGUAAGUAUAGAAAGAGUGAAAUACGAAGCACGUUUUUGUAUAACAAUUUCCAACCUACAUGAUUCAUUUCAGACCAUUUUACGGUUUUAGCGUUGUGUAUAAAUGCGCGCCGGCGCUAACAAGCAUACAUUUCUCGUGCAGGUUGGCUGUUAUAAAGUUUCCAAACUGACCAAAUACCAACGAAUGACUUCUGAAGAAGGGUGGAUUUAUUUGUAGUUUAGUUAAACAAUAAUUUGCCCCGUCAGUGAUAUGGUUUGAAUGCUGCCUGAACGUUCCGAAUUUGGCAGACACGGUGAGGACAAUGCUGAGGAAAAUUGCCACGAACAAAGUCCUGGAGCAGCUUGGCCUCCGUGGAAAGUCAGGAAAAGUGGCGUUUGAGGACUUGCCCCUUUACAGAAUAAUAAAUAGCAUGCAGGGGUGUUUACAAGCAGACGACCACAGCUGAAGUGGAUUGUGAGCUUGGAGAGGUCCUGAAACUGGCCACUUUUCGAAAGGGAGGUUCAAAAUUUGAGGAGAAGAGGAGGAAUUAAGAGGGAGGACAAAAAAGGAAAAAGAAACAAGCAAAAGAACAGAGUGAGAUGAGAGGAUUUGGGUUUCCCUGCUUGGGCUGCUGCCCCCGCGACCCAACCUCGGAUAAGCGGAAGAAGAUGGAUGGAUGGAUGGAUGGAUUUACUUCCAGGAAGAGAACCAAGAAGGGGCAGGAUACACUGACGCGCACGACCAAGACCACUGCAUUCCAUUCCAUUUAUAAAUGAUAAAUGAUAAAUGGGUUGUAUGUCAAAGCGCUUUGAGUACCUUGAAGGUAGAAAAGCGCUAUACAAGUAUAUUUCUAAGCGCAAUUGACAGUAUUCCCACAUUCACCCAUUCACACACACAUUCACACACUGAUGGAGGGAGCUGCCAUGCAAGGCGCUACCAGCACCCAUCAGGAGCAAGGGUGAAGUGUCUUGCCCAAGGACACAACGGACGUGCCUAGGAUGGAAGAAGGUGGGGAUUGAACCCCAGUAACCAUCAACCCUCCGAUUGCUGGCACGGCCACUCUACCAACUUCGCCACGCCGUCCCCAUUUUUGUAUUAUAUCACUGAUAAAGAAUUAUUUCUGUUGAAAUCACUAUCACAAAUAAAUAAUUAAUUC